CGACUCCAUGAAGCUGGAUUCGCUAGUAAUCGCGCAUCAGCCACGGCGCGGUGAAUACGUUCCCGGGCCUUGUACACACCGCCCGUCAAGCCAUGGGAGCCGGGGGUGCCUGAAGGCCGUGACCGCGAGGAGCGGCCUAGGGUAAAACUGGUGACUGGGGCUAAGUCGUAACAAGGUACC
rnacentral:rRNA from 1 species